rnacentral:sRNA from 1 species
GAGGCACCUGGUGGCCCAAGACCUGUUCUCAGUCUACAUGAGCAGGAAUGACCAGGGGAGCAUGCUCACGCUGGGGGCCAUUGACCUGUCCUACUACACAGGCUCCCUGCACUGGAUACCCAUGACUGCAAGAAUACCAAUAGUUCACUGUGGACAGUGUCAUCAUUGAUGGCGUGGUGGUGGCCUGUGACGGUGGCUGUCAGGCCAUCCUGGACACCGGCACCUCCCUGCUGGUGGGGCCUGGCAGCAACAUCCUCAACAUCCAGCAGGAUGCCACCGCAGGCCAGUACAAUGAGUUUGACAUCAACUGCGGGUGCCUGAGCAGCAUGCCCACGGUUGUCUUCGAGAUCUACGGCCAGAAGUAUCCCCUGCCACCCUCCGCCUACAGCAGCCAGGACCAGGGCUUCUGCACCAGUGGUUUCCAGGGUGACUAUAGUUCCCAGCAGUGGAUCCUGGGGGAUGUCUUCAUCCGGGAGUAUUACAGUGUCUUUGACAGGGCCAAUAACUGUGUGGGGCUGGCGAAGGCUGUCUGAUUGCAUCACUGGCCAUGGACCUCAAUGUGACCAAACACACACGCGCACAUAGAUGAGAUGUGCAGGCAGAUGGUUCCCAAUAAACACCGCAUUUCUGCAAA